rnacentral:rRNA from 1 species
UGGGGAAUAUUGCACAAUGGGCGCAAGCCUGAUGCAGCCAUGCCGCGUGUAUGAAGAAGGCCUUCGGGUUGUAAAGUACUUUCAGCGGGGAGGAAGGGAGUAAAGUUAAUACCUUUGCUCAUUGACGUUACCCGCAGAAGAAGCACCGGCUAACUCCGUGCCAGCAGCCGCGGUAAUACGGAGGGUGCAAGCGUUAAUCGGAAUUACCGGGCGUAAAGCGCACGCAGGCGGUUUGUUAAGUCAGAUGUGAAAUCCCCGGGCUCAACCUGGGAACUGCAUCUGAUACUGGUCAGCUAGAGUCUUGUAGAGGGGGGUAGAAUUCCAUGUGUAGCGGUGAAAUGCGUAGAGAUGUGGAGGAAUACCGGUGGCGAAGGCGGCCCCCUGGACAAAGACUGACGCUCAGGUGCGAAAGCGUGGGGAGCAAACAGG